rnacentral:lncRNA from 1 species
AGCAACAGAUUAUGUUCAAGCACGGAGUUUUCUUCACACUGGGACCAGCACCUCCGCGAUCGCUGCCAAUUUCUUCAUAGCGCCAUUUUUCUUCAGCUAGUUACCCCCAUGAGUCCAUGGUAGGGGAUUGACUGAGGGUUUUAUGUGAACUUUCCAAAAGAUGUGUGGAAUACAGUCUGAACUCCGACUCUCUGAACUUCAUGUGUUAAGCUUGUCUGGUCGGUACAGUACAAAUGAUGGCAUUGUUUUAUGGAGUCUGACAUAUAUGUCGCCGAUCAGGUUGAUUAUCUUGGAUCCAAAAACUGUGUCGCGAUGAACAGCUCUGCAUUAGCUGGGGUCUGAGGCCGGUAUCUGCUCGGUUGCCUCUGCAGGAAGAGAAGUAGAGAACCAAGGCGAGAAGAGGCUGCUUGCGGCGGCACCUGCGCCUGCACAGAGGUAACCGUCUGCGCAUUAACCGAACUUGCGUCGCUCACUCUGCCGGUGGUGUGCGCGCCAACCUCCAAAUGAGAAAAUGAAGAGAGAAAAGAAAUUUGUAAAAAGAAAAGAAAAAAGAAAAUUUCUUCAGAAUGCUACCUACAUUUCUGUUUGUUACAGUAUAACACCCCUCUUAUGCCUCCAAGUCCAUGCAUACUGAGCAUUUUUGGCCCAGCACAUGGUACUUGUAGGGUCUGUCUAGGACAGAGAACCACACAAGUCCGAAAAUUUUCAAGACAUCAUGAGUGAUUUAUUUUUAUUAUUUUCAUUGAAAAGGAAUGCAAAUGUCCAUACCCGGCUAGAAAAACAUGUAUGACUGGGAUUGCAGAGGGUACAAAUUCUAGGCUCGAGAUAAUCGGAAUUUUUUUACCCGACCCGAGUUUUGCUCAGAGUUCAUCACGCAUGAUGCCUGUCAAAAUUUUUUUUAUCUCUUUUGUGUUUUAGGUUCUGUUAUGCGGCAACGGGAAUGAAUUGAAGUUAGAGACUUUUCUAUUUCGAAGGUUUUUAUUUUUUCAAAAAAAGAUAGGUAGGUACCUAGGUCGAACCCCGAUCUCGAGGUGAAUCCUACGCGCGGCGCACAGACUCCUAGACCGCCAGCCAGCAGAGCCGCCACGGCACCGCGGACGGAAACAGAUCCUCGAUGACGUUGCCGCUGACGUGUGGGUCCGUCUAUCGUGACCCCACAUGUCAGCGGACCCAACCCGAUUUAACCCAGCCCAGGAUCUGAACCCUACUCCCCGACCCAUCAGGUUUGCGCCCGCGCGUCUCUGGUUCGUUCGGGCCUCCCGCUGCGGCCACCCUCCCCACCUCUCUCUCUCUCCUCCGCCCGCCGCCCCCGCGAGGGCGAAACCCUAGCUAGGGUUCUACCCGCCGCCACCGCCGCUGCCGUCGACCAGUACUGCGCGCUCUUACCCCGAGCUCGCCAUGGACGCCGCCGGCCGCAAGCGGGCCGCGCCGGAGGGCGCCAACGGCGCGGGCGGCCCCAAGCGCGCGAGAGGUGAGCGGCUUCCCGACCUCUCUCUCGAUUUGGUUGCUGCUCUACGGAAGGUUCCGCUCGGUACGGUUUUUAGCUGCUCGCCGUUGGUCGGAUCUGAGGUCCGCCGCUCGCGGCUUGGCUGCGAACUGCAGGGGUCCGUGGUUUUUGCUGCCGUUGCUGGAGGGAGGGAUCUGGGGUGUUUGGAGCUUGGAGUGGCCUAGAUUUGUUUGGAUUUUUCUUUUCGGUUGGUUUCGGGGGGAGCUGAAGGCUGCGCACCGUGUAGGAUUUAGCAGCAAUUUUGCUUCUACAAAUUUAUUAGGCGUGAAUAGUGCCGUAAUGGGUGUGCCAGAUUGCUUUUGCUACUGUGCUGUAUACAUGGAUCCUUUAGCCUUCGGUGUCUAGAACUUUUGAUGCUUCGUGCGCUAGCUAGAAUUGCUACAUGUAAUGCUUCCGGUGCUGUAAGCAAUUGCCAAAAAGGAAAUCAUUGGGGGCAUUGCUUGCAUACCGGACAAGCGGAAGUUAUAGCAGCAGCAUUGAUGUUCUUCCUUAACCUUUAAAUGUAGUGUCCUGUGUUUAUUUAAUGAAUUUAUUUAUUUAUUUAUUCGUAUUACUUUACCAAGCCAAAUAUAUCUAGUAAAGCAACACAUGAUUAAUUGGCGCAAGUAAUAAAUUUGGUGUAACAGAAGGCGAGACAACUCAAAUGGGUGUAGGAAGCAAAUCCAAGCCGUGCACCAAAUUUUUCAGGUUCUAAUCUAACCUAAAAUCAACUCCCACCUGGUAACAUCUAUUGUUAUUUUAUUAUUUGUUCCAUAAAUUAAAAUUUUGCUAUUUUGCUAAAUGUUUUGAUUGUGGCUAACAAAUGGUUCAACCAAGAUUCUGCUACAGGUUAUUUUUGUCUAAUCAUUGCUUAAGAACACUGAAUGGAGUAAAAUUUGGAACCUACUGCUGUAUAUCACUCUGAAAAUAUGAAUGAUGCAACAAUGGUUGUGAGGACAUGAAACUUACUCUCGGAUGAACAAUCAGUCAGUAGCACCAUGGAACAGGUUUAAUUGAAGAAAUCAAGAUAAGAAGAUUAAGAUUGAAUAUAUUGCUGGGGACUUGCUUUCUGCCAGUCACUUCUUCAAUUGCGGUUUCUUAUUAUUAUGAUGCAGGAGUGGUCAAACCACUAAUACACCUUCAAAGCUUGAUUAUCAAUGGCAUUUUAUACCAAACAUAACUUGCCAUAGAAUUUCUAGUAACAUCUACUUAUCUUUUUCAUUCAUUGGAUAUCAAUGUUAGGAAUCAUCUAGUAUAUUUGCAUUACUCAGCAUGUGACAUAAUCUCUUUCAUCAGCAUUGGCUGCAUUUGUGGAUCAUCAAUUCAUAUUGUAGUUCUUAGGUAUCAAAUAUAUUUGCAUAUUCAGUUGCUUAUAUGGUGUUUUCAUUAUGCAGCACUGCUGGCUGCCCCUUUGGUGCAAGUUGCCACUUUCUCCAUAACUUCCCUGGUGGUUACCAGGCUGUUGCAAAGAUGACCAACUUGGGUGGACCGCCUGUUCCGGCUCCUCCAGCGAGAAUGCCUAUGGGACAUGGUGCUCCUGAUGGCCCACCUUCACCUGCUGUGAAGACUCGCAUGUGUAACAAGUACAACACUGCAGAAGGAUGUAAAUGGGGGAGCAAAUGCCACUUUGCUCAUGGAGAGAGGGAGCUUGGAAAGCCCAUGCAGAUGGACAACUCAAUGGGAGCUCCUCCAAUGGGACCAGGGCCCAACGGUCACUUUAUGGCCCCGCCAAUGCCUGUCCCAGACAUGGUUCCUCCAUCAACAUUUGGUGCUUCAGCCACAGCCAAGAUCAGUGUUGAUGCAUCACUUGCUGGUGGUAUCAUUGGGAAGGGUGGUACCAACACAAAGCAUAUAUCCCGUGUGACUGGCGCCAAGCUAGCCAUCCGGGACAAUGAGGCUGAUCCCAACCUUAAAAACAUUGAGCUCGAGGGAACAUUCGACCAGAUCAAGCAUGCUAGCGCAAUGGUCACGGAUUUGAUUGUCCGCAUCAGUGGUAAGGCCCCUCCACAAGCCAAGAACAACCCAGGCAGGGGUCCUCACGCCGGGGGGGCUGGAAGCAACUUCAAGACCAAACUGUGCGAGAAUUUCAAUAAAGGCUCCUGCACGUUUGGUGAUAGGUGCCACUUUGCUCAUGGCGAAAGUGAGCUUCGCAAACCUGCUGCUGCCUGAUAGAUGUGCUUGUUGUUGCCAAUGGUGGUUAUUUUGCCUAUAGAUGGCUGAAUAACGCCAGAACUGAGGACAGUUGCCCAUUUUGUAAUGUGCUGCGCAAGCCUGAUUCUGAAUGAGAGAUUCUUACUGUGGCUUGUAUUGAUCGUGCCUGCUGUAACUGUGCAAUAGAGUUUCGGAAUGACCAUCCUCUAGGAUUGUAGGAUUACUGUAUUUGCUCUCUUUACCCCUGUCGCUCAUCCUAUUUUUGUACCUUUUGUUAGGCACUUUUUGCUGGCAUAUUAUUGUGAUUCUGUUGAGUUGAAGUUUCUUCUUUGAUAAUACCAGUAUGUGAAAAUUUAGUUCGUUUGAUUUACACAGCCAAAGUGGCAUUAUUGUGAUGUUCCGUAGCUGUUUUGCGAUUGAUCGUAGUUUGUUCCCGUCUGUUAUUGAUGUUACGUAGCUGUUUUGCCUCCUAUUCUGGAUCAGGUUUUAAAUGCCACAUGCUCGACGGAGAACUGUAGGAUUCUCACUAGACAGCACAAAUUGCUAUCAUCGAAUUCCUUAUGUUUAGAACAAGAGCACAAGCCCGCUACAGUCAUAGUUCCAAUUUCCAAGCUUCCAAGUUCAGGCCGCCCGGCCACCUGAAUCAGCUUUAGUUCAGAGCAAGAGCACCAGACUAAGCAAACUUUUCAACCAUCAUCAAACUAAGCAUUAGCGUUGCAACAGGCAUCUAACAUUAACUACAACUACCUCAGCUUAAAUACACCAGAAACUGGAGAGCAACUCCAAAAGGUGACAUACCCAACCAUUCCAAAAGCCCAACCCACGCCACGCCACCGUGCUUUCCCUAAGCGCAUAUAAGCUACGCUAAGUGAGCGUGGCUGCAUCUCUACCUAAACAUGUACAGCCAGGGUCAGGGCCAUCAGCCGUCCUGGAAGAGGCGCCUGCGCUUGUACGUCAGAUUGACCUCCUUCCUGUACUUGGCCACCAUCUUGUCUUCCAUGACUUCCUUCGCGCCUGUCGCUGCGCCCGUCUCGUCCUCCAUGACUUCCUUCGCGCCCAUGGCUGCUGGCAUCUCAUCUUCCACGACUUGCUGCGCACCUGUGGCUACCGUCCUGUUUGCCAUGAUUUCCUGCACCCCCGUUGCAACCGUCUCAUCUUGCGAGAUCAGGCCACGGUUCCUGCACCGCUUCCUGAUCGGUGCGCUUUGUGUGGGCACGGUCAGCUCAGGCUCAGGAUGACUGUUUCCUGCUGCGCCAGGUGCAUCCUGAGAAGACCUGUGCGGCAUAAGCUCUUCCCCCUCUGGAACGACCCCUUUCAUGAGCUGCAAACAAAUGUAAGGCAGGAUCACAUCAGAUAAACAAUGCAAGUUUCCUUUCAAUAAAAAACAUGGCAAGUCAUACACAUUAACAUAAAGUCAACCAGGCAUAUAAACCAAAAUUACUUCUCUAGAGAAAGAGAAAAGAUAAAGAUCAAAUCUCAUCUUAGUAUUCCUCCCAAAUGGAAGUCCUAAUAUAUCACUAUCAUGUUUACCUUAUAUACAAGGUUUGAACUAUGUUGAAACUGUAAUGCAAAUUUGCUAUUAGUUUGCAACCUUUGCCACAGAAACUUUAGCAAAAACAUACUUGCAUGAGCACACUAGAUGAAAUAUUUAAAUCAAAUGUAUGCUGAGUAUGCAGGAUUUUAUUCUGAUAGUUUAAUUAUUAUUUUGAAACAACAUGGCAAUUAUUUACUGAAACAGUACCUUCCAGUCUUCGAAAUCAAAUCGGAAGACAAAGUGGUUGUAGACAACUUCUCCUGAAGCAACAGCACUAGCGGCAGGUGCGUUCCUUGGAUCUGUUCAGUCAAUAGAAUUAUAUCAGACAUACCAAUAACAAACUACAGAAUAUCCAUGAUAUUACAGCAACAAAGCAGUGGCCAUGCAACAGAGUCCUUACAGAUAAUAUGAUGCCCCUCAUCAUUCACAUUGAUUUCAACUCUGCCAUCUUUCACUAGAAACGACAAGGCAAAGACAUUCUCCACUGUUUGGGCGAAUGAUGUCCUGUUUAAAACAAGGUGUUCCAGCCUGGCAUUUUUCUUUCUCCUCAGAAGGUUAAAUAUAGCAGACAUAUUCUUAUCAGUAUCACUCUUUGUUUUCACUGUGGGGUCCACAAGCUGCAGAUUAAGAGUGAGUAGAUUGUAAGAAGUUGGUAAUGAUCUGUAGAAAAGUUGGAAAGAAUUUUGAAUGUUACAAACAUCUAUGUCCAAAAUAAUAACUAUGGUCUCCAUCUUAAUGCAUCCAUCACAAAAUGAUAGCAAAAUAAAACUGAUAAUGAUCUUGUGGUUCCAAUAUAGUUCACAGCUAUUUUGUGCAAUAUAAUCAUAUUGUGAUAAAGAGUUUGUUGGUACAAGUAGAAACACCAAACCUGAGAUUAGCUAUUUACUUAACAGAUACAUGUGGAACGCCAGAAUACAAACAUAAAGAUGAAGAAAUUUGACGGGGCUCUAGAAUUUGCAGUCAUGUCAAAGGAAAUAUGGAUUUGAUUGUAGACCUCGCUAAAUUCAUCCCUGUAUCAGCAUGACAUUCAUAGUGCAGUAAAUAAACAGACCUGUAUUUUUUUGACAGAAAUUACCCACAAUGCUAUGGUGGCAAUGUUUUGAUAUUUUUGACUACAUGUGAGCCAUGGUAGCAAUGCUAUGCUACCCAUCUUACUGUGAAGAAAAUAUGAUGCCUACCACAUCAGCAUACCCAGUAAACCAGUGCAAAGUUCUGCUCAUUACUGCCAUUAAAUUAACCACACAGAAGUGCACCUGUUCAGGACGAGCACUUCCACGAGGUCUUGCAGUCCUCUUUUUUCUAAUACAAACCCUUCGCGGCUUCACUUCUGUCUUCAUAGGGCCAACCCUAUCAAAACAGAAACAAUAUUUCAAGUCCUUGGAAAUUGCAACCAUCAAAGGUAAACUCAAAAAAACAGUGGAUUCCCAUUACAUGGUGGCACAUCCAGCAGCGUUCAUGAAAACAUGAGAGGCAGCACGCCCAACACGAGCCCAGUCCAACGAGGCAUGCUCAUCAUCAGGACCCCUUUGCUUUCCAAACUUCUUCAGCAGUCCAGCAACGAAAUCAGAAGGCGUGAUUCCCAGAACUGAAUGGGACCUUACUGAUGUUACCAAACUGGUGGCAAGGUCCAGCAGGGCUUCUGCAUCAGCUAUCUGCUCCCUUGGCCUCUGGACUGGAGCACAGAGACACCACUGUUGCUGUUAGUAAUUAAGUUGGAACCUGCCCCUAGCAUCAGCAAUCGGUAGAAUAGUACCCUCUGAUGCCAAAGGCAGUGAAAGUUCAACGAGAAAUAAACUUGAUAUUAUCAUAACUGAACAUCUUGGCAUGGCAGAAGACUAUGUGUAUUAUCCAACAUGUUUCAAGUUUCAAUUCCAUGCUUCUUAAAAACCUACUGAUAAGAUGGCAUGUGCUAGUACUGCAUUGAAAGAGGUCAACUGGCCAGCAAAAAUGGCAUAAUGUUCCCCUCUGUUACCUAAUAUUUUCCAAAUUACAGUUGCAUAUUUCUUCUUCUAAAUAAAAAUGUAGCAUCCAUCUCAGCGACUCAUUGACAAACCAUGCAGCCAUUAAACAACAUCAACGCAAAAAUAGAUGAUUGCAGGCCAUUGGAGCGAAUUUUCACGUAAUAAAAAGCAACAUAUUUAAAAUUCGUUACUGAAAUAAACCAUCCACACACAUGUUGACUGGCAGAACUUGAUGCCUUAAACAGUACGACCAUCUCAGCGACUCAUUGACAAAGGAUGCAGUGGUCAUGCAACAUUAAUGCAAAAUAGAUUAACUUUGUAGAAGAGUACAUUAAUAAAACGCAGACAUGAGACAUUGGAGCGAGCUUUCGCGCAAUAAAAAGCACCACAUGCAAAAUUCACUGCUGAGAUAAACCAUCCAACGGACAGCUCAGGAAAACACACGCACACAUGUUAACUGACAGAAAAAUUGGUGCCUUCCGAAACUGCAGGGGACGAAAUCGCCACCCAAAACCAAAAAUUGCCCGGCGGGCCAGCGAAAGGGGAUGUCCUUACCUUGCUGGUGCAGGCUCUCCACCUUGUUGAUGAUGGAGAGGAAAUUUUCGGAGUCCGCGCUCGCCAUAUCAUCCUUCUCAUCUGCGCACGACACAAACAUACCCCCAAAAUCAAACUCAACCAAACAACCAAACCGCGAUCAGGAACCAAUGCCGCGAGUUUCGCGCCCCCUACCGCUGAUGAGGCUCUUCACGGCGAGGUACUGUGACCGCAGCAGCCGCCGAUCGUCCACCGCCUGGGGCCCCUCCUGCUGCUGCUGCGGCUGCGGCGUCACCGGCUCCGCCUCCUCGCCGCGGCCCCCCGCUCCCACCGCCUCCGCCUCCGGCAUUGCGAGGGAAGCCCUUCGAAUUCCCAAACCCUAGCGACCCCAACGAGAGCGAGAGGGGAAGAAAGCUGUUGGUGGGGGGCUUGGAGGAUACGGAGGCGGGUGGGGUGCUGAGGAAGGAAGGGGAACGGCGAAGGCGGAGGAGGUGGGGCGGGGGUAUUUGAAACCACCGCUCCCUCUCCGAAACCGCCAGAAAUAUCUACGCGGCUCGCUCAACUGAUCUGUGGGUCCCGUAUGCGAGGUCUCCGGUUAAGGCCCAGUGUCAGUGGGUUUACAGGUGGAUUUGGUGGGUGGGCUUCUCGUAGGGGAAGCCCCGCUCGGAUUCGAAAAGGUAGGAGAGUUUCGGGAGAGAAUUGCGUGAGCCGCGUGGGCAGCGUGGGCGCGGUCUAGGUGGGCAAGGGUCUUGAGACCCGUGGGGUAGAGCCGUGGACCAGGUUGUCAGUGGGUUUUCGGUCUAUGGACGCGGUCUGCUUUCUCGGACUGGCCUGGCUUCUAGGUUCCCGACGGCGCCUCUGCCGCCGUGCUGCGUCUGUUCGUGUUUUACCGUUGCCGCCCGGCGCGGCGCUCGCGGUAAAAAUUUGGGGCGAGUUAGAAUUUUUGUCGCCGCUGCUGAUGCUUCGUUUGCUUGGUGACCUUUUUGCCGCGGUUGUUUCUUUGCCCCCGGUAGAAUACGAAACUAAGGGUGUUUUGGAUACGAAGUGUUAAACUUUAACAGUGUCACAUCAGAUGUUCGGAUGCUAAUUAAGAGAACUAAACAUGAGCUAAUUAUAAAACUAAUUGUAGAACCCUGUGUUAAUUCGCGAGACGAAUCUAUUAAGCCUAAUUAAUCCAUCAUUAGCAAAUGGUUACUGUAGCACCACAUUGUCAAAUCAUGGACUAAUUAGGCUUAAUAGAUUCGUCUCGCGAAUUAUACUCCAUCUGUGCAAUUAGUUUUGUAAUUAGCCUAUGUUUAAUACUCCUAAUUAGCACCCAAACAGCCGAUGUGACGGGUGUUAAACUUUAACAGCUGGUUGCCACAGGCCCUAAGAAGAGUGGAGAAACAAAAGGCGAAAUUCGAUGGGUCGAGGACUUAAAGAGGCGAAAACAAAAAUCACGACACAAUCAGGGCCUGUUUGGCUCCACCCGGUUAAAGUUUAACACCAGUCACAUCGGAUGUUUGGAUGCUAAUUAGGAGUAUUAAAUAUAGACUAAUUACAAAACUAAUUGCACAGUUGGAGUAUAAUUCGCGAGACGAAUCUAUUAAGCCUAAUUAGUCCAUGAUUUGACAAUGUAGUGCUACAGUAACCAUUUGCUAAUGGUGGAUUAAUUAGGCUUAAUAGAUUCGUCUCGCGAAUUAGCACAGGGUUCUGCAAUUAAUUUUAUAAUUAACUCAUAUUUAGUUCUUCUAAUUAGCAUCCGAACAUCCGAUGUGACACUGUUAAAGUUUAGCACCUCGUAUCCAAACACCCCCUCAAUCGAGCUGCUCUGCGGGGUUCGAUUUGACCAAUGUUUGACACCCCGACCCGACUAGAGUGUUGGCAAUCGAUAAGGACCAUAGUUUCAAAAGUGUUCAUACUAUUUUUUUUUAAAAAAAAUCCAUACUCCUAUCUCACAAUUAAAUGGAAUUAUGUGAAUUAUAUCCGCUGGCUGCACACUUGUGUUAACGAAAUGAAUCUAGCUUCCAAGAAAUCGUUGUGAGAAUGGAAAGUUUUAUCGAGGUAGCUGUCGUGCUCUGCCAAAUAUUUGACUACUGGGUGGUAGAACCCAAGUCCUUUCAUAUGUAAAACGAGCCAAGCAUGCCAAAUUUUGAGUGCGCGCUUGGUUGCUGGCCUCAAGCUGCCACGCCGAACCUGCGGCGUCAAAAAUCAGCGCCACGCCCAUAGCGUCAAAAACAACUGCGAAAUACCAUGGCAGCCAAAGGAUAGCAGUGAACCAAGCAGUGACCUCCAAUUAAUGUGACUGUUGCACCGGUGGCGUGACGCGUUGCGGCUGGCAACCAAACAUUUCCUGAGUCAUAUGGCAUUGUUUGGACUCGAAAAAAAUGCAAUUACUAGCACUCAAUUAGUGGCAACUAAAAAUUAGGCAGUGGACAACUGAGCUAAGUCCAUCAUGAUUCAUGAGGUCCCAUAUUUUUUUUAGGAACAGGAGGGGCAGAGCCCCAACAGCCUCAUAAUCUGCAUUGUGUCUCGCAACUAAUGAAAUUACAUGAGUUUCUACGGCAGAUGCCGAUCGAGAUGGCACGACAAGCAACUAAAGACCGUGUCCUCAGACUUAAAGUUGGUCACACGCAUCAUGUUUUAGGGCCUGUUUGGCUCACUAGUGUUAAAGUUUAACACCCGUCACAUCGGAUGUUUGAAUGCUAAUUAGGAGUAUUAAACAUAGGCUAAUUAUAAAACUAAUUGCACAGAUGGAGUGUAAUUCGCGAGACGAAUCUAUUAAGCCUAAUUAGUACAUGAUUUGACAAUGUGGUGCUACAGUAACCAUUUGCUAAUGAUGGAUUAAUUAGGCUUAAUAGAUUCGUCUCGCGAAUUAGCAUAGGGUUCUGCAAUUAGUUUUAUAAUUAGCUCAUAUUUAGUUCUCCUAAUUAGCAUCCGAACAUUCGAUGUGACACUGUUAAAGUUUAACACCUGGUAUCCAAACACCCCCUUAAACAAGUUCUGAUGGGAAUGUUCUAGACAAGUUGGCACAAGCAUGGACGGUCUGACAACUGACAUAUAUAGCCACAUCGUUCUGCGCCAAAAGAUUUGAUGGCUCCAUAGCCAGCCACGAAACGUGAAUGUACUACCAGUGGGUUUACCGGUUUAUUAGACUAAUAGGGGGUAGCGUUAUGUCCCACACUAGUGGAUGUGCAUGUGCCACAGGCACGUGUAUAAUUAGAACAUGACAAAUAAUUGUUACUAAUAAGAUAGAAUUAACAAUUGUGUGGAUUUAAACAAUUGCAUCGGCUAUGCAUAAGUUAUUCAGCAGCGGGGCUAAUAUCCAAAUGUAUGGAUUCAAUCAUAUUUAUAGAUACGAGAUACGGUAGCACGGCAACCAUUUAGUUAAUUUAGUAGCCCAAGUCACAUUAGAUGUUUGGAUGCUAAUUAGGAGUACUAAAUAUAGGCUAAUGAUAAAAAUAAUUGCAUGAAUGAGGACUAAUUCACGAGAUGAAUCCAAAAUCCUAAUCAAUCCAUGAUUAGAACAUGUGAUGCUACAGUAAACAUGUGCUAAUUAUGGAUUAAUUAGGUUUAAUAGAUUCGUCUCGUGAAUUAACCCUCGUAUUAGGGUUUAGGGUCUAACAUCAUAAUAAAUCAAGAAUUACAAAACUAACAUACCUCAUGACUCCAAGACAUCCAUGUAGAUAAUAUUCUUUGUUCCUUUUCUAGUAGGAUCUAUAUCCUUAUUUUUUCUAGCAAGAACCCACGUUGUCUUACAAGAAACACCUCUAGAUAGUGCUACAUACAGCUGCCCAUGAGAAAAGACAGUCUCGGGGAGGUAGAUACCUACAUUUGGUAUUGUCUGACCUGCGCCUUGUUAAUGGUCAUUGCGAAGCUCAAGCAGAUGGAAAACUGCUUGCGCUUAAACUUGAACGGUAGGGACAGAUCUUCGGAAGGAGACAUUGGUAUCCUGGGUAUGAAUACCCUUUCUCCUGCAUGUUGGCCAUUAACAAUCUCAGCAUCGAUAGAAUUUUUCUGAAAUCCUCUCACAAUUAGUUGGGUGCCAUUACAAAGGCCAUUGUCAGGAUCAAGAUUUCGAAGUAGGAUAACAGAGCAGUUCUUCUUUCACAAGCUCAUGUGGAGGCAACCCAUUUGGUGUGAUUGAAUUGAGAAAGUCUAAGGGGUAAUUAUUCCGUGGGUCAUUCUCUACCGAGUCAAAAUUGUAGUACACCAUUUUACUACCGGGGAACCUGAUAUGAACCCGCUAGGGUUGAUUCCCGAUCUUUCGAUGAGAGGCGUGGAUAACUCGAUUGGUGGAUGGAGACGACGUUCACGGCCCGACUACAGCCUUCCAAGCUGCGCCUUAGCAACCGAUACACCACCUCCAAUGGCUGCCGCGAUCUUGUGGAGCGCGUCACCCGGCCACUAGGGCAAUCGUCCUGCAAGCAAUCGAAGAACAAGCAAGAACAAGUAGAACAAGCAACUCAAUUGCAAAUAUGGAGAUGAAAACCAAUCUGAAAUCACAAAUUUGGGGUUCCGAAUCGAGUAGAACGGAUGGUCUAGUUGACACACGCGUCUACAAGGAAGUAGCAAUGGCUAAACUUACAUCAAAACAAAACCCAAUCUGUUCGUGGCGGCUCUAAUCCUUAUUAAUACCUAGGAGGACGACCAGGGGGGUGUUGGGGUCGUGCUCCAACCCUAGGACACGUCCCUAAUGGACCCAACUUGAUACACGGCCCAUCGGGCCAAAAUAGGGCGACGCAGCACCUGUGGACAGAAAACCUCUCGGUAGUAUUUCGAUGAUUGCGGCCGCCUCAGAAUAGAUAUGGACAUGAGUCCGGAUCCAUAUAAAAAUAGACUUCAUAAGUAUUCCAAGGAGUACUUGAACGCCCAAAACGGAGUCCGGAUGAGGUCGUGGCGGUCGUUGCAAGUUGGGCCAGAACUGUAGUCCGAAUCCAGCACCAAAACGUGUUGGAUUGGAUCUCUUUCUUUCCUUGGGCCAAAAGUGACGUGGUGGCCUGGUGGAGGACGUUAGGAAUACUUGGACUUGGCCCCCAAUCUACUUCUUUGGUCCUCCAUGCCUUCCAUGUGUGUUUAACACUAUUUUUGAUCCAUGUAUGUAUUUCUGAAAUUGACAACGAAUACACAUCAUGGUGCAGCAUCAAUUCAUCAAAUGUAUCACAUAUAAUUAUGAUAAAGAAUUGUUUCACCUCGGAGUCAAAAGAUACUAAUAUGGUUGUAUCCGAGCAUGUGAUGUCCUCAUCAUUGCUCUUCAUUAGCAUGCAGGGUGGACAAAUUUUGGACAUUAUGGGUCACAUCAUUAUUGCAAGUAUUCACAGAUAAUAGAAUCUCCUUUUCAGCAUUGAGAGCAAGACAAUACAAUUGAGCAAUAUGCAUGCAUGAUUUGCUAAUUAACAAAGUUCGAAUUUCAGAAUUGAGCCCUCUCAUGAACCUAGUCAUCACAUCUUCCAUGCAUUCAUCUAAUCCACCAUACAUGAUACAAAUUUUAAAAUCAUGGAAGUAUUCUUUCACAGUCCUACUACCUUGCCUCAAGUUGUCUAAUUUAGCAAGCAAAUAAUCAGCAUAAUAUUUAGGAAUGAAUGCAUCUCUAAAAAGAAAUUUGAAGUCUUCCCAAGAUUCUAGAACUUUGUUGUGCCUACAAAUGCGUUUCCAUUCAAGCAUUAGUGCAUUCACUACAUCCACGUGCUCAUUCCUAGUGGAAAGGAUUGCACGCUCGCGCAUGUAGGCUGCAGAUGUACAAUUAACAUCAAGGUUCAGGAAUACGUGGUCAAUAAGCGUAUCAAUACAGAUGUCUUCUGAAGGGCUAUCAAUCAGAAUAUCAUCAGGCAACUGCAUAUAGUCAUCACCAAAUAUUUCCUCAGUGUCGUUACCGAUCCUCAGCAGAUAAUCUACAAACCAUGUGUCUGAUUGUGCUCUCAUGUUCUGGGUUAGUCGUAUACGCCGAACACUUUCCCAUAUGUAUGACCUAAGCAAAGUAACAUCUGCGAUUUGUGCUCUUGUACCAUGCGACACGACAGGAAGAACCUGUCUGAAGUCACCUCCAAACAACAUGACCUUACCACCAAAUGGCUGCGUACACUCCAUUAUAUCCUGUAGUGUCCAGUCUAGUGCCUCAACUGCCUGUCUCUUAGUCAUUGCUACCUCAUCCCAAAUUAUCAUAGAUGCUCUCCUAAGCAUUUUGGCUAUCCCACUCUACUGAGUAAAACUACACAUAGUGCGUCCACCAGGCAUGAUGGAUGCUGCUGUACUAGAUGUUACUGUAGCAAUGGCAAUAAGAUCCAUAGAGUGCACCUUUGCAAGCAAUGCUUUAUAUAGAUAGGUUUUAUCGGUGCCUCUGGGACCAUCCACAAAGAAAACCUAUCCCUUGCCCUUCAUAACAUGGUCAAGUAUGUCCUCGAAACCUGCCCUUUGUUCUGCAUUAAGCGUAUCUAUGAUCUCCAGGUGUUUCUCUUCAUAACCGAGAUUCUGCUCCUCUGUAAGCUCUCUGUAAUGGUCUCUAGAGCGUUGAUUGUCUGCACACACAAGGAAAUUUUGGAAUGUUAUAACCAAUUGUACAAAUGACGUGCAAAAUUCAAAGACAAUUAAUUUUUUUCCAUACAAAUAUUAGAACAAACUAACCUGACUCAUGUAGUUUUGGAAGACCAUAGUGCCUAAUGUCUUUCCCCAAGGAUGUUAGAUGGUAUGAAAUAUCACGGAGCACCAUCUGCUCAACCAUAGUGUAGUUGUCAUUAGUACAUCGGAAAUCCUCAGCCAAUGAUUCAUAAUGCUUGUCCUAAAGAUGGCAUAUGUCGGCACACUCACAGAAAACCAUAAUAGUGGCAAAAAGCCUGUGGAAAGAAGAAGGAAACCUGACCAUGGCACAUUCAGUCAGACACUCAUCUAAUGACUUAUCAAUAUCUACAAACUCCGUGGCUUCGACAGCUGCUCUAAAAGUCUCAUAUGUAAUACCACACCAUGUUUUGAGGUUCUCAUAUGAGGUUGCACCUCUCACAUGGUUCAGCAGCACCCAAAGGUAGUAUCUAUCACCUUCACGUGGAUUUGCAUAUACCAAUCUACCAAUCUGAAGCCUGUUUUUUGCAACUCUAGAUUUCCAAAAAUUUCCAGAUUUGUUCCACGUGAAGUACUCUGGAAACUCUUUGUACAGGUAUUGGCAGGCCUUAGGAUUGGACAUGUUCAUCUUGAAGUACUCAGUUAGCAUUGACCUUUGGGAUUUCUGACACUCCACAACAUCUUUCAGGUUGUUUGUUGACUUGUAGGCAACCAUGUGCAUACCAGGAAGGUGUACUUGCAUCUGUAGGACAGGCGGCUAGAUUGAAUACAACUUAAAACCAAACAACCUGUAGACCGCUUCUAUAGUUGUUAUUAUCCUUGCAUCACGGUACUGCUUGAUCUCUUUGAUUACCACAUGCUCAUUUCCUUUUGCAUCAACAAUAAACGAUGCUCGAUCAUGACCUUUAUAAAUGUAUUUGUAUAGAUAUUUAACUGAUGCUGCUACAAAUCUCAAUAUUGAUAUGGCAGUUAUACCUCAUAAGGAGCACUGGGUUAUAAGGAACCACCCAUCUGUUAUCCAAUUCCUCUCCCCUAACCUUCACUUUUGACCCAUCUUCCCGCCUUCUAUACAUUGGAUAUGUGUCCUUUCCUAGUUGUGUCAUUUCACUGAACUGCCAAGGAUAGCGAAAAUGACACUGCCCAUCGACCAUGCAUGGACAAUCUUUAUUGAGAGUUGCACAAGGACCGUGCAUCAUAUGCUUGGCUACAAGCGGGUGCAACUUAGGAUAUUUCUUUGGGUCAGGAAUUUCUGCUGAUAUGUACCUAUCAUCAGGGCUCUUUAACUUGGCUAAAGAUGCCGGGCAUGAAAGAAUACGUUGAACUGGCCUUCACGAAUCUACAGCUUGUAGCACUUGUAUUCCCUCGCACUAACAUAAAGAUGUGAUCCUCUGGUGUCUAAAACAAAUAUAUAUGUUAACACAUUAGGUAAAACAAUCUAUUUUCCAUCUUUUCAACAUUUUUCUAUUAGAUGCGGAUGAUUUGAAACUAUACCUAGCCCCUCAACAUCACUGUACAUGUUUUCCUCAUUAUCAUUAUCAUGCUCACCUCCUGUAAAAGUAUGGAAAACUGAAUCGUCAUCUUACCUUUCAAUCUUAGAUUUCUGAACUAUAUAAUAUGGCCUAUCAGCAUAACACACCUUCCUCUUUCAUGAAGUCACCAUAUGCAGUGUCAUCUGCUUCAUCAAUAGGCAGAUCUAUGAAACAAAAAAAUGUUUACAAACACAAUGAGUGAAGUGCAUAUGAAAGCACAUGAAAAAUGUUGCAUACCAUGAGUAGCUCUUUUUUUAUGUCCUUGAAUAACACAGUGGUUAUUGUUUGGUCGAUCACCCACAUCGACUUUAGUUCCAUCUAUGUUAUAACAUAUUUCAUGAAAUUUCAUAUAGUGGGAGCAAUAAAUUUAUGGAUUAAGUAAGAAACAAAUGUUAAAUGUGCAUACCUUUCCUCUUACGCUUUGUAUACUUCCGCUUUAGCUUUGAUGGUGGUGGAUCUCGAAACUCUAUCGUCUUGUCCUCCCAGCCAACCUCACCACCAAAAAAAAA